CCCUAAGCCACCACAGUCUAUUAGUUUUGUUUUGUUUUUUUGGUACCGGGGAUUGAACUCUGGACCUUGCACUUGCGAGGCAGGCGCCAGAACCACUGAGCUAAAUCCCCAGCCCUAUUAGUUUUUAUUUAGGUCAUCAAGAAGCUGUUGAGGCCUCAAUUAUUCGGUCGAAGCACAGGAACAGGGAGACAUUUUAGACGAGAGAACACAUAGUCAUGAAGGAUCCACGGGGGAUCGCAAAGACCUGCCUCCCAGUGGACGCCCCGGGAGUUUGGCCGGCUUCCCCUGAUCAGGCUAAGGCUGCCUGUGGUGACGCACUGCUGAGCACUUCCGUGGGGCUUUGCUGUCCCUGCAUGAGGAGCAAACCCUGAGGUCCUGUGCUGGGCAGUUUACCGCUGAAGUCUGCUCAGUGUGACGGUAAAUAACAGCCCCUUUCCGAGUCCACAGCACACUGAAAAGGAAAAGUGUUCCAGCCAAACGAAAUGAAAAUUGAAAGCGGUCUGCAUACACAAUGUAAAAAGAAUGGUUACAUAAAUCAUAGCGCAGAAAGAAAACUAUCCACAAUGAACACAGAAAUGCCAGGAAAAAGCUGAAAGCAAAAUGAAGAGCACCUCAGUGAGUUUGAGACAACUUGAAGUUGCACCUUUGUGUAUUUAUUUUUUUAUUUUUUUGGUACCAGGGAUCGAACCGGGUCCUUGUGCUUGUGCAGCAGAUGGUGAAACCACUGAGCUAAAUCCCUGGCCCCACCUUUGUGUAUUAGGGGGCUGUGCAUGGCAGCACCAAAAUGCUGUACCUGAGACAGGAUCAUCAGGAAGAAAAGAUUUAUGUGACUCGCAGAGUUAGAGGGUCAAGUACAGCACCAGAUUGGGCACCCCUGUGCAUGGCCUUGGGCCUCCGGUGAGGAUGGCAGGUGGCAGGGGUGGUGUCAUUUUGAUUGAUCACAUCUCAGCCAGGACAGAGACAGGUGGAGGAGAGUCCCUCUCAGGGCCACGCCCCCAAUGACCCAAGAGCCUCUCACUAAGCCCCACCUCUUAAAGGUUCACAGCAGCUCCGGGUACUGCCAUUCUGCAGACCAAGCCUUUAACACACAUGGACCUUUGGGGGACAUGCAUCGAACCCACAGCUCCUCUAGUGAGUGUAAGUCUCUGGGUUCAAUUCCAAGCCCUGGAAACCAAAAAACAAACAAAAAAGCCACAAACACAUUGUAACCCUGUACCUGAGGCCCAAGCUGAUUGGUCUGUGGGUGGAAACCUUGACCAUGGCUGGGCCAGUGAGUUUCUUUUCUGAAAUUUUGAAUUUAGGACCAGAGAAAAACCAGCCAGUCUCACCCUGGGUGGCCAAAGCAGCAACAUGAAAAUCUUUGUGUCUGCUACCACAUAGACAGAAGCUGAAGUCAUCAGUCUAUAAGAGCAGAGAGAAGAACCCGACCGAGAGAGGAAAGUAGACACAAAAUCUGUAGACACACAACACUGGUGAGACUUCCAGGUUCUGCUGCCAGUUGUUCCUGAUCCCACCGGUCCCCUUAUAAAGCAGCACGAAAACAAAAAUUGGUUCUCCUAGCUGAAGCAGUCUAGCAGCUCUCACCCAGGCCCUGCCCUGCUUUCCCAUAACUACUGACCUCCCCCUGGUACUGAUAAGGUAGCGGUCAUACUAAGUUUUGUAGAACUAAGGAACCAUAUGCUCUGUAAACAGCUAUGUUCUGUAAACAGUGUAUGAUCUCUAUUCCCAUAUGAUUCCUAAGACACUGUUUUCUUACAAGGCUAAAUUACUGACCAUCUGCCCCUGUCCUGUUCCAGUAAACUCACUCACUGCGUCACCAGAAAGACCACCCCCUUCAACUAAAUAUAUAAAAACUGGAGCUUUCCGGGGCCGGGGAUUUAGCUCAGUGGUUCUGCCACCUGCUUCGCAAGUGCAAGGACCUGAGUUUGAUCCCCGGUACCAAAAAAUAAAUAAAUAAAAAUUUAAAAAUCUGUUAAAGAAAACAAAACAAAACUGGAGCUUUCCUUUGCUCAAUGGCUCAAUCUUUUAGACAGAAGUCCAACUGAGUCAAGGUACACCAAUAAUUCCUCCUGAUUCCCAUUUGGCCUCUCUUAUCCUUUUAGAAUUCUGCAACACUUGUGCUAUUCAGCUUUUUAGAUUCCAUGAAAUAUGGGUUUGGGGCACAUAAAAUGGAACAGGAUUUAACUUCCCUAAAGAUGAUGAAUUUGGUUUUGGACAUGUGAAUGAGAGAAGAGACCAUCCCACCACAUGGAAUUGGGCAACUAUGAGUUAACUGAGUUAUUAGGCCACUAUGGAUUAACAGGUAACCAUCCUCUUUGUAGAAUGCACCUGCGUAACCAUGACAACUUAUGUACUCUGUCACCAAAGGAGCAGAACAGACUCAGAAAGUCCUGCCGGAACUCUUUGCUCUCCCCCGAUGCACCCACUGCUUUGCUUUGUGUAAAUCCUGCUUGCUCUAUAUUCCCAGGGAAAUUCCAAUGGAAUUAAGCUUCAUAGAUGUAAAAAGAGGUACAUAAGGAAGUGCAAACUUCUAUUUGGGAUUCUCGAGACUGACAGGAGUCACUUGGUGAGCUGCUGGCCUCAUUGAAUGCCGCUUUUUGCUCCUAUCUUUGUGUUAAAGAGUUGUCUGUCUGGGGUCCUCACUGUUUUCUGCUUCAUUAAGUGUAGUUUCUGCAGCACAUCAGUGUGGGAUGUCCACCAGGCAGACGAACAGGCAUGUCUGAAGCUCUGAGAACAAGUGUGUAUCCCAAAUGGACACUUUUGUUCUCUCCAGCCACCCCCCUACCCCCCCAACCCAUGGGAGAGUAUGAAACCAAACACAGAGGACAUAGACAAAAAGCCAAAGAUGGGCUCUGGACAAAAACACAUUAAAAAGAUAAAGAGAAGAAGGAUCAGCAAAAGAAUCUGAGCAGGAAUAUCUAGCAAGGCAGAAUGAGAGCAUGAUGCUGAGGAAAUUGAAGAAAGGGAGAAUUGAAAGAAAAGUGAAAUGGUAACAAUAGCAAAUCUCUAAAGGAUCUACAACAUUCUGGACCCUUGAUGAGCAGCCACCAGCUUGGUAUACUUCUAUCAGUGCCCACUCCUGAGUCCGUAUUUCCCUGUUUCUGACCUCAGAAUGCGAACAUCACCGUUGUUACCAGUCUCUUUCAGGGUGAUUUGAUUUUAUCGAUCCUAACCCUGUAUUAGUCUGCUAUGCCUGAACAGGAUUAAGGACCCAGUGAAAGCGGAUCAGCAGCGAAGGGCCGAGCUCUUCUCCCCAGAAGCUGCUGUGAUUGUACCUCCAGGUACACAAGGAAGGCUGUGAGAGGACAUGCAGUCUCAGGAAGAGGAAGCUGGGCCUCAUCGAUCUAUGAGGGCCUUGUAGGAGGCCUGCGAGCAUGUGGAUGUAAGCUCAUGAAUGGCGUCUAUUCAGAUUUUCACAAAGCCUUUCACAGAGUUCCACACAAAAGAUUGUUUUAAAAUUGAGUCACUGUGGUCGGAUGGGGCCGGGUGUAGCACACAGAUGUUGCUUAGAGACGAGAAACAAUGGGUGAGGGUGAAAGGGCCUCUCGGGAGAAGAUGUCUGAACACUGGCACUCUCCUGGACUGUCCCUUGGUAGGAUUUUUAUGAGUUAUUUGGAGGAGGGAAACAAAAAUGACAUUGACCUUUUCGGCUUCUGCAAAGCCCAAGUGUACGGGGCUAAGCUGGAGUGUGUGAGGCUUUGUGAACAGGCAGGAAAUAUUUGACUUGGUCCUACACUCGCAAAAUAAGUUGUAGAACUUAGGGAAAACAAGGUUCAUAUACUCACUUACCAAACAGUUAUUGAGGAUCUGCUAUGUUGUCGAGGACCUGCAGGGUCACUGUGUGACACUGAGCCACAUGUCGAGGAGGACAUGAUUCAAGCUGCAUUUCUCUCUGCUGUUAGGGAACCUAAAUGGAACAAGAAAAUAUUUCCUGAAUCUUCACUUGAUCUUAGCCAAAAGGCC
ensembl:lncRNA